GUAGGUGGCAAGCGUUGUCCGGAAUUAUUGGGCGUAAAGCGCGCGCAGGCGGUUCUUUAAGUCUGAUGUGAAAGCCCACGGCUCAACCGUGGAGGGUCAUUGGAAACUGGAGAACUUGAGUACAGAAGAGGAAAGCGCAAUUCCACGUGUAGCGGUGAAAUGCGUAGAGAUGUGGAGGAACACCAGUGGCGAAGGCGGCUUUCUGGUCUGUAACUGACGCUGAGGCGCGAAAGCGUGGGGAGCAAACAGGAUUAGAUACCCUGGUAGUCCACGCCGUAAACGAUGAGUGCUAAGUGUUAGGGGGGUUUCCGCCCCCCUUAGUGCUGCAGCUAACGCAUUAAGCACUCCGCCUGGGAGUACGGCCGCAAGGCUG
rnacentral:rRNA from 1 species